rnacentral:rRNA from 1 species
GACGAACGCUGGCGGCGUGCUUAACACAUGCAAGUCGAACGGAAAGGCCCUGCUUUUGUGGGGUGCUCGAGUGGCGAACGGGUGAGUAACACGUGAGUAACCUGCCCUUGACUUUGGGAUAACUUCAGGAAACUGGGGCUAAUACCGGAUAUGAGCUCCUGCUGCAUGGUGGGGGUUGGAAAGUUUCUGCGGUUGGGGAUGGACUCGCGGCUUAUCAGCUUGUUGUUGGGGUAGUGGCUUACCAAGGCUUUGACGGGUAGCCGGCCUGAGAGGGUGACCGGCCACAUUGGGACUGAGAUACGGCCCAGACUCCUACGGGAGGCAGCAGUGGGGAAUAUUGCACAAUGGGCGGAAGCCUGAUGCAGCAACGCCGCGUGCGGGAUGACGGCCUUCGGGUUGUAAACCGCUUUCGCCUGUGACGAAGCGUGAGUGACGGUAAUGGGUAAAGAAGCACCGGCUAACUACGUG